rnacentral:misc_RNA from 1 species
GAGAAGAACGUAGCGAAAUGCGAUACGUAAUGUGAAUUGCAAAUUCAGUGAAUCAUCGUGUCUUUGAACGCACAUUGCGCCCCCUGGUAUUCCGGGGGGCAUGCCUGUCCGAGCGUCAUUGCUGCCCUCAAGCACGGCUUGUGUGUUGGGCCCCGUCCUCCGAUCCCGGGGGACGGGCCCGAAAGGCAGCGGCGGCACCGCGUCCGGUCCUCGAGCGUAUGGGGCUUUGUCACCCGCUCUGUAGGCCCGGCCGGCGCUUGCCGAUCAACCCAAAUUUUUAUCCAGGUUGACCUCGGAUCAGGUAGGGAUACCCGCUGAACUUAAGCAUAUCAAUAAGCGGAGGA